rnacentral:rRNA from 1 species
UGACUGCUAAUACCGCAUAAGCGCACAGAACCGCAUGGUGUAGUGUGAAAAACUCCGGUGGUAUGAGAUGGACCCGCGUCUGAUUAGGUAGUUGGUGGGGUAAAGGGCCUACCAAGCCGACGAUCAGUAGCCGACCUGAGAGGGUGACCGGCCACAUUGGGACUGAGACACGGCCCAGACUCCUACGGGAGGCAGCAUG